rnacentral:rRNA from 1 species
AGCUUGCUCCACCGGGAAAAGAAGAGUGGCGAACGGGUGAGUAACACGUGGGUAACCUGCCCAUCAGAAGGGGAUAACACUUGGAAACAGGUGCUAAUACCGUAUAACAAUCGAAACCGCAUGGUUUUGAUUUGAAAGGCGCUUUCGGGUGUCGCUGAUGGAUGGACCCGCGGUGCAUUAGCUAGUUGGUGAGGUAACGGCUCACCAAGGCCACGAUGCAUAGCCGACCUGAGAGGGUGAUCGGCCACAUUGGGACUGAGACACGGCCCAAACUCC